rnacentral:rRNA from 1 species
AGCGAACGCUGGCGGCAUGCUUAACACAUGCAAGUCGCACGGGCGGGGGCAACUCCGUCAGUGGCGGACGGGUGAGUAACGCGUAGGAAUCUAUCCUUGAAUGGGGGACAACCGUGGGAAACUACGGCUAAUACCGCAUGAUGCCUGAGGGCCAAAGACGAAAGUCGUUUGAGGAGGAGCCUGCGUCUGAUUAGGUAGUUGGUGGGGUAAAGGCCUACCCAAGCCUACGAUCAGUAGCUGGUCUGAGAGGAUGAUCAGCCACAUUGGGACUGAGACACGGCCCAAACUCCUACGGGAGGCAGCAGUGGGGAGUAUUGGACAAUGGGCGCAAGCCUGAUCCAGCAAUGCCGCGUGGGUGAAGAAGGUCUUCGGAUUGUAAAGCCCUUUUGGCGGGGACGAUGAUGACGGUACCCGCAGAAUAAGCUCCGGCUAACUUCGUG